rnacentral:rRNA from 1 species
AUCUAUGGCCAUACCACCCUGAACACGCCCGAUCUCGUCUGAUCUCGGAAGCUAAGCAGGGUCGGGGCCUGGUUAGUAAUUGAGGGAGACCUCCCUGGAUUACCGGGUGCUGUAGGCU